GACGAACGCUGGCGGCGUGCCUAAUACAUGCAAGUCGAGCGAAUCAAUAGGAGCUUGCUCCUGUUGAUUAGCGGCGGACGGGUGAGUAACACGUGGGCAACCUGCCUGUAAGACUGGGAUAACUUCGGGAAAUCGGAGCUAAUACCGGAUAAUCCUUUUCCUCUCAUGAGGAAAAGCUGAAAGUCGGUUUCGGCUGACACUUACAGAUGGGCCCGCGGCGCAUUAGCUAGUUGGUGAGGUAACGGCUCACCAAGGCGACGAUGCGUAGCCGACCUGGGGGGGUGAUCGGCCACACUGGGACUGAGACACGGCCCAGACUCCUACGGGAGGCAGCAGUAGGGAAUCUUCCGCAAUGGACGAAAGUCUGACGGAGCAACGCCGCGUGAGCGAUGAAGGCCUUCGGGUCGUAAAGCUCUGUUGUUAGGGAAGGACAAGUAUCGGAGUAACUGCCGGUACCUUGACGGUACCUAACCAGAAAGCCACGGCUAACUACGUGCCAGCAGCCGCCGUAA
rnacentral:rRNA from 1 species